rnacentral:tRNA from 1 species
GUAUUGGUGGUUCAGUGGUAGAAUUCUCACCUUCCAUGCAAGAGAUCCUGGGUUGGACUCUCAACUAAUAUA